UGAACUGGGCGAACGGCGCACUAUCCAACGGCCUCCGGAGCCGUGUGCGCAGGUUCGAAUCCUGCCGGGGCAC
rnacentral:tRNA from 1 species